CCUAGUAACGGCGAGUGAAGCGGGAAGAGCUCAAAUUUAGAAGCUGGCAGCUUUGCUGUCCGCGUUGUAAUCUCUAGAGGCAUUUUCCGUGCCGGACCAUGUACAAGUUCCUUGGAACAGGACGUCGCAGAGGGUGAGAACCCCGUACUUGACAUGGCGACCGGUGCUUUGUGAUAUGCCCUCCACGAGUCGAGUUGUUUGGGAAUGCAGCUCAAAAUGGGUGGUAAAUUCCAUCUAAAGCUAAAUAUUGGGGAGAGACCGAUAGCGAACAAGUACCGUGAGGGAAAGAUGAAAAGCACUUUGGAAAGAGAGUUAAACAGUACGUGAAAUUGUCGAAAGGGAAGCGCUUGAAGUCAGUCAUGCGGUUCAGGUUUCAGCCUUGCUUCUGCUUGGUGUAUUACCUGGACGCAGGCCAGCAUCGGUUUUGCCUGCCGGAUAAUGGUGGGAGGAAUGUGGCACCCUCGGGUGUGUUAUAGCCUCCCACUGGAUACGGCGGGUGGGACCGAGGAACGCAGCACGCCUUGUGGCGGACCUUCGGGUACCUUCGUGCUUAGGAUGCUGCGUAAUGG
rnacentral:rRNA from 1 species